UGACAUACCAGAAUAUAAUUUACAAUCUCUAUAAAGUUUAAUACGGUUGUAAACAAAUGUAAUUUAUUAAAUUGUCUGAUUUUGCCAAAAUAUUCGUUCUUUCAGAAUGCAAGUGAGUCACAAAGUACGGGUAGGACAUUAAUCACGUCUCCAGCUGACAAUUGCCAGGUUCGUAUGUGUAUUAAUUAAAUACUAAAUUGUCAAUUUAGUUUUACUUUUAGGAUUUUUAUUUCAGUCUGACAGUACAACCAACGUGCAUUACAAACUUACACAAAAAAUCAUUCACUUCUAUUUUCAUUAGGAAACUGUCAAUGUGUCAAACGUGGAAACGGAACGUCAAAUCCAAAUGGGAAAUUUGCUUUCACUGAUUGAAAAAGAAUUGUUGGACGUCGCGAGAAGGGAAAAUAAAUCAGUCCUAAGAGAGAAAGAUUACCCUGCUUUGAGUUCGCUUAAUUUUCAUGACAUUGUAGAAGAGAUGAAAAAUCGUUGUCCAACUGUGUUUCAGAUCUUAUCCAACAUGGUUCAAUACCAUAUUAACAGAGAGAAGAAUAUUGUCUCUCUGGGGCUUAUAUAUGCAGUUAUUAUGUUCCGCAGAUGUCACGAGUUGAGUCGUGUACAGAGAGUUAACACCGUACUUCUAACAG